GACGAACGCUGGCGGCGUGCCUAACACAUGCAAGUCGAACGGAACUGUUUUGAAAGAUUUCUUCGGAAUGAAUUUGAUUUAGUUUAGUGGCGGACGGGUGAGUAACGCGUGAGUAACCUGCCUUCAAGAGGGGAAUAACAUUCUGAAAAGAAUGCUAAUACCGCAUGACAUAUCGGAACCACAUGGUUUUGAUAUCAAAGAUUUUAUCGCUUGAAGAUGGACUCGCGUCCGAUUAGUUAGUUGGUGAGGUAACGGCUCACCAAGACCGCGAUCGGUAGCCGGACUGAGAGGUUGAACGGCCACAUUGGGACUGAGACACGGCCCAGACUCCUACGGGAGGCAGCAGUGGGGGAUAUUACGCAAUGGGGGCAACCCUGACGCAGCAACGCCGCGUGAAGGAUGAAGGUUUUCGGAUUGUAAACUUCUUUUAUUAAGGACGAAAAAUGACGGUACUUAAUGAAUAAGCUCCGGCUAACUACGUG
rnacentral:rRNA from 1 species